CCUACGGGAGGCAGCAGUGGGGAAUCUUGCGCAAUGGGCGAAAGCCUGACGCAGCCAUGCCGCGUGAAUGAUGAAGGUCUUAGGAUUGUAAAAUUCUUUCACCGGGGACGAAUAAUGACGGUACCCGGAGAAGAAGCCCCGGCUAACUUCGUGCCAGCAGCCGCGGUAAUACGAAGGGGGCUAGCGUUGCUCGGAAUUACUGGGCGUAAAGGGAGCGUAGGCGGAUAGUUUAGUCAGAGGUGAAAGCCCAGGGCUCAACCUUGGAAUUGCCUUUGAUACUGGCUAUCUUGAGUACGGAAGAGGUAUGUGGAACUCCGAGUGUAGAGGUGAAAUUCGUAGAUAUUCGGAAGAACACCAGUGGCGAAGGCGACAUACUGGUCCGUUACUGACGCUGAGGCUCGAAAGCGUGGGGAGCAAACAGGAUUAGAUACCCUGGUAGUCCACGCUGUAAACGAUGAGUGCUAGUUGUCGGCAUGCAUGCAUGUCGGUGACGCAGCUACGCAUUAAGACACUCCGCCGUGGGUAGGUACGGUCGCGAAGAAUUAAACGUUAAAUAGAAGUUAGACGGCGUAGAGACGUAGCCGAACGGACGACGACGAGGGAGGUAGG
rnacentral:rRNA from 1 species